UACGAGGGGGGCAAAUGUUGUUCGGAAUCACUGGGCGUAGAGGGAGCGUAGGCGGGUGUUUAAGUUAGGUGUUUAAUCCUGGGGCCCAACCCCAGUCGUGCACCUAAAACUGGACAUCUUGAAUAGUGGAGAGGUCAGUGGAAUUGGAGGUGUAGCGGUGGAAUGCGUAGAGAUCUCCAAGAACACCAGUUGCGAAGGCGGCUGACUGGACACAUAUUGACGCUGAGGCUCGAAAGCAUGGGGAGCAAACAGG
rnacentral:rRNA from 1 species